GGGUGACAGGUUGUGUUGUGUCAUUGCCUGUCUUAUGUUCUUUGUCUUGCGCGGCCCCUUGUGUUGAUUGGCUUGUUUUAAAAUACUACAAACUACUUGCACGUCAGCCAUUGCACUUCACAACAAUCAGAGCACGUCAGCGAUCGCAUCUCCGAGCAUUUAGGACUAAACAACAAAUCUAAAGCAGCGCUAUAUUCCUCCAGAGGAAGUGGAAUAAUCUACACACCAGUGUCACCCACAGGGGUGUCUAUCUGUCAAUAGACAAAGAAAAUAAAGUCUCACACCCGUAGCCUGUCUGGUCUUCCUAUAUACCUACACAAUCCCGGUUACACUACCCCAGAGGGAAUAAAACCAGUUUUGUCUUCACAUGUGAACACAUUCUCUACUGUGCUACCCGAGGUGAAAUUAAACCCACCUAUUCUACCCCGGAUCUUCACGCGCCACGAUAAAAGGUCCCCGGCACGCUCAAUAGAUAUAGAGUCCUUUGCAAUAAUGUAACACAAUAUAUCCUGUAAAUAAUUCAAAAUAUGCAAUUUCUGGUAAAUACUUCAAAAUGUGUAUGUAGUGCUUUUCUAAUGAUGUGAUAGUAGUAUAUCGUAUGUCAAAUGCUAACAGGGAAAUAUGGUCCACAUUAGAGUUGAAUAAAUAUAUCCUGUAAAUAAUUCAAAAUAUGUUAAUUCUGGUGAAUACUUCAAAAUGUGUUAUUACUGGUAUGGUUUGCAUUUGUCACUGUUUCCGCAAGAAGAAGUUUCGGCUUGUCCCGGAAUAA